rnacentral:rRNA from 1 species
UUAUCCGGAUUUAUUGGGUUUAAAGGGUGCGUAGGCGGCACGCCAAGUCAGCGGUGAAAUUUUCGGGCUCAACCCGGAACUGCCGUUGAAACUGGCGAGCUAGAGUGCACAAGAGGCAGGCGGAAUGCGUGGUGUAGCGGUGAAAUGCAUAGAUAUCACGCAGAACCCCGAUUGCGAAGGCAGCCUGCUAGGGUGCGACAGACGCUGAGGCACGAAAGCGUGGGUAUCGAACAGGAUUAGAUACCCUGGUAGUCCACGCAGUAAACGAUGAAUACUAACUGUUUGCGAUACAAUGUAAGCGGUACAGCGAAAGCGUUAAGUAUUCCACCUGGGGAGUACGCCGGCAACGGUGAAACUCAA